GGGACAGGACACAGAUUUUGGGGACAGGACACAGAUUUGGGGACAGGACAGGGAUUGGGGAGAGGUCACAGGUUUGGAGACAGGAAGAAGGAUUGGGGAUGGGACAGGGAUUUGGGGACAGGAGAGAGAACUGGGGACAGGACACAGAUUUGGGGGACAGGAAGAUUUGGGGACAGGAUAGGGAUUGGGGACAGGAGAAAGAAUUGGGGACAGGACACAGAUUUGGGGACAGGACAGGGAUUUGGGGGACAGGAAGAAGAUUUGGGGACAGAACAGGGAUUGGGGAGUGGUCACAGGUUUGGGGACAGGAAGAAGAAUUGGGAAUGGGACAGGGAUUUGGGGACAGGAGAGAGAAUUGGGGACAGGAGAGAGAAUUGGGG